GCUGUGAUGGCCGAGAGUUUAAGGCACGGGAUUUGAAUUCCCGCGCAGGUUCAAACCCUGCUCGCAGCG